rnacentral:rRNA from 1 species
AUUGAACGCUGGCGGCAGGCCUAACACAUGCAAGUCGAGCGGAGCGGCGGACGGGUGAGAAAUGACUAGGAAUCUGCCUGGUAGUGGGGGAUAACGUCCGGAAACGGGCGCUAAUACCGCAUACUAUCAGAUGAGUCUAGGUCGGAUUAGCUAGUUGGGGGGGUAAAGGCCUACCAAGGCGACGAUCCGUAACUGGACUGAGAUGAUGAUCAGUCACACUGGGACUGAGACACGGUCCAGACUCCUACGGGAGGCAGCAGUGGGGAAUAUUGGGCAAUGGGCGAAAGCCUGAUCCAGCCAUGCCGCGUAUGUGAAGAAGGUCUUCGGAUUGUAGAGCACUUUAAGUUGGGAAGCGUUACCAACAGAAUAAGCACCGGCUAACUUCGUGCCAGCAGCCGCGGUAAUAC